rfam:Triticum aestivum genome assembly, contig: Triticum_aestivum_CS42_TGACv1_scaffold_321072_4BL
CAUCUACUCCCUCCGUCCGGAAAUACUUGUCGGGGAAAUGCAUAAAAAUAAAUGUACCUAGAAUUAAAAUACAUCUAGAUACAUCCAUUCCUCCGACAAGUAUUUUCGGACGAAGGGAGUAGGUG